rnacentral:rRNA from 1 species
GAUGAACGCUGGCGGCGUGCCUAAUACAUGCAAGUAGAACGCUGAAGGAAGGAGCUUGCUCUUUCCGGAUGAGUUGCGAACGGGUGAGUAACGCGUAGGUAACCUGCCUGGUAGCGGGGGAUAACUAUUGGAAACGAUAGCUAAUACCGCAUAACAGUAGAUGUUGCAUGAUAUCUACUUAAAAGGUGCAAUUGCACCACUACCAGAUGGACCUGCGUUGUAUUAGCUAGUUGGUGAGGUAACGGCUCACCAAGGCGACGAUACAUAGCCGACCUGAGAGGGGGAUCGGCCACACUGGGACUGGGACACGGCCCAGACUCCUACGGGAGGCAGCAGUAGGGAAUCUUCGGCAAUGGACGGAAGUCUGACCGAGCAACGCCGCGGGAGUGAAGAAGGUUUUCGGAUCGUAAAGCUCUGUUGUAAGAGAAGAACGAGUGUGAGAGUGGAAAGUUCACACUGUGACGGUAUCUUACCAGAAAGGGACGGCUAACUACGUG